AAAGGCCUGCAGAUUGGAAACACUCAAUGUACAUUGCAUUCUCCAAGAAAAAAAAUAAGUUAUGCUGUUUCCAACGUUCCUUCGCCUUUGAGCACACCAACAGCUGAACAUCCUUUUGGCUUUAGUCCAGUUGUGUCAUUUGCCGCAGAACUGUUUGUAGCUCACUGAUGCCAUCUGAUCUAGAAUUUCACCUUCUGGUGCUACCUUUUAUUUCAUUUUGGAUUGUCUCGUCAUAGGGUUUUCAUGGCAAAAGACAUUCAAAGGGGGUAAACUGUCUCCUUCUGCACAGAACUAAGAAGUGUUAGCUUGUUGCUGCUCUUAUGAAAAAUCCUCCACCAGGAUUCAACAAAAAUCAGCACAAUGUCUUUUGAUUGCUAGCACUAGGAGCCUUUCAUUUAGAUGCUCUCUGUGGGAGAAGAUGGGCAAUCUUCACCUCUAUCUGAAAGAUGAGAAUUGGGACUGAAGUGAAAGAAAACCAGCAUCAUCAUCUUCUCUAAGCUUUCCUGGCUUCACAGAAUGGACUUUAGAAGCUUGGAAUAAUCCCUUCACAAAUAAUGAGGCUUGGGAAACCAGAAAGUCAAUCAAAUUGGGUUGCUGGCAAUCAGUCUCUCACCCACUGGAAGAAUCUGUGUUGUUUCCCAAGACUGGCACACAGUCCAAAGUCACAUAAAUACUAUAUAAUGUACGUUAUGAUAUUUGAUAACCUUGGGUCUAAUCGAUUUUGCUCUGGCCUGCUGUACUUCAGGUGUUCAGUUGCAGAAACAGAAUGGUAACAUAUUGGAACUGGCAGUUCGAUUAUGCAAAGUUCUGCAACAGUGAAGAAAUUAGAAAGGUUUACAAGGGUAUGCAGAAGUACGAUUACGGGUUAGCGUUUUGGCACAAUUGUGCUAAUAAAGAGUGGUGCAAUAUUUAGAGUGCUCAAUGUAGUAUGUAUUGGAUUAAAUAAUGUGACUGUAGAGGAAUAGCAGGUUUGUUGAUAAAGUCUCAUCUAAACUCUAGAUCUAUAAGCAUAUUAGUUGCAUUCCACGUUGAUUAUUAUGGCUUUAUCCUAUGAAAUUCUGGAAUUUGUAGUAUGUUGAAUGGCUUAGAAUUUUCUCCUUGAGAGCUCCAAUGAUCACAAAACUACAAGCAUCAUGAUUCCAUAGGAUGGAACAAUGAUCAUCAAAAUGGUAUCAAACUUCUAUAAUGAUAUAGUAGAUACACUCCAUGUGAACUUCCCUGAAACCCUCAAGAGGUUCUGCAUGAUGUUCCAUAUCUCAAGGAAAUUAGUUUUGCUAGUCUAUACUACAGCCCUUUCUCUUUUCCACGGCCAUAGAAAUUACUUACUUAUAUCCAUGUAUUGAUUUAUAGAUAGAUUUAUGGCUCAUCUUCCCACAAUGUAUUCAGUAAAAUAUGAAUAAACAAACAUUAAAACAGAACAAAACAAAUUUUAAGGGAGGCGAGCCUGGGCACAACAACAUCUUUUCUGCCAACCCUUUGGGGGAAUAUCUAGCUGAUAUUGGCUUUUGAUGGAUUUGCUGCUGCUAUUACUGUGUGACUGUGUAUUAUAGUAUCUGUUUUUAUGACUCUGUUUUAUUGUUUUUAUGACUUAUAUUUUGUAUUUUAUUGCUCACUGCUUUGGGUAUUCCUGAAUAGAAAUGUGAUUUAUUAAACAAAUAAUUAAAUAAAUAAACAAAUAAAGGAAAGGAAAGAAACUUGGGAGAAAAGCAAUGCAAAUAUGACCUAUUAUAGUGUUUUACAGAGAUGAUGGGUUCAAAAUCCAACCCUGAGCAUAGCAGUUAGCCUCAGGCAAGGUCUCAGAAAAAGCAUUACCAUCCUCCCAUAUUUCUGAGGAAACAGAACCAAAGGCAAACAGAAAGAAAACGUCUGAAUGAGGCCAAAGGUCCAUCCAGUCUAAUUUCUGUAUUGCUUCCAUUUAUGUUCUGCCUUUCCUCCAAUGACCUCAAGGUAAGGCUUUCUUUUUAGUAUUAUCAAAAGAAUCCUUGAAAGUAAAUCAGAUUCAGAAAGUGUGAUAGGUGCAGGGUCACCCCAAGAGUUUUGUGACUCUGUAAGGAUCAAUCCAACAUUCCAGUGAAGCCUUUCCUAAGUUUGUUUUUAGUCUGUAAAAACAUUUUAAAUAUAUUUUAGGUCUCAGGUAACUCCUGCAUUCACUGGGGCUAGGGGUAGAAAUCUUAACCAAAAAAUGAUGAUGAUGAUGAUGAUGAUGAUUAGAAAAAUGCUGUUUUUGUUCUUUAGAGAAUAUCUCUCUAAAAAUCUCUAGGUUUUGGGAGUUGGAGUCCAAAAAUAAAUAUUUCCCAACUUUGCUGUAUAGCCAUUCUAAAAUGGUGCCAAUAGCAUGGAGGUGAUCCUGAUCAGAUUCUCCAGGCAGACAGUAACUGACCACAUCAAGGACCCUACUCUCUUUGAAGAAGGUUUCUGCGCAAUUUAAACCUCAAAGUUCUGGAUAUAAUGGAGAAAGUAGAUCUUUUACUGAUAGAAGAUGCUUCCUGUUUCAAACAGUGGACCUUUAUCCAUGAAUGGAAAUAAGAAUGUGGUAGAGGGGCAAAUCUCCCAUACUUAUUCUCCAUCUUCUUCUUCACAUGACUACUCUGGGCUAAGAAGAAUUUAUAGGUCAGGGGAAGGCACCUGCUUUCUGCCACCAUUUUGAGAACUCUGGUGGCAUCAAGAGGAAAUACUCCUGUUUCUACCAAAAACUCAUAUUGCACAAAUUCUGCCUAAAAUCAAAUAUUUCUACAUAUUGGACUGCAAAUCUGGUAGCUCUAGGCAACAUAGCCAAUGUUUGUAAAUACAUCUUGAGGUCCACUGUUGUCAAUAAUAGAAGUAUAAGUGAAAAUUUCAUUACAGUCUGUCGAUUUUUUUAAAAAAAGAGUAAACCAAAAUGCAAAUAUCCCAAGGUAGAAAGAACUCUAGCUUAAAAAUAUUCAAAUGUAAGAAAUACAAAAACCAAUAUGCUUGUUCACUCAUGCUCAGGGCUUUCUCUGCUUAAUUCUUAAAUAUCUGGUUUUGAAUCCCUCUGUAUUCAAACAUGUGAAUGUUGAAUUCGUGUCAUCAUCUCUCUUUUCUCUGAUAGGAUACCCAACUUGACAGGAAGAAACACAUACUCCUCUCCAUGCCAGGAAUAGCUAUAUUUACUGAAUUUGCUUGGUGAGGGUGGUGAAAAAUUCAUUUCUGAUAUUAUUUUUUAAGUUCACCAAAAUGCACCAAUUUCCUCCAUAUGCACUGAAAGAACUUGAUAUUUGGUGUUUUUGAAUACAGAGCAAGAUAGUACAGGACAAUCAGAUCAAUCUUGGAUCCUGUAAAUGGAUAAAGUCAGAAAUUCAAUAAAUAAAAUUAUGUGCUAAAUAUUAUUGUUGGCACAACCAUGAAUAGGACCACUGAACCCCUAGGACUUGCUUACAUAUUAUAUUGACGUGCUAUUCAGCAGUCAAUUAAAUUGAUUUACUUGAGCUGGAUUCAAACAAUAGGAUUAUAUUGUUAGAAUUAAAAUAUGGACCUUUCUGUGGUCUGAACAAUGGAACCAUUCAUUUACUAGAGAAAGGUAGUGGCAGUCUUGGGGAAACUACAAGGUUUGCAAAAACAGAUAGUAUUAUAGUGGAAAUAGACAAGUGUUACCUCCGUAACUCAAGAGCCUAAUGAAGAUGUUUAAUGGGAUGGUAUGUUGGGUAUCUUUUGGGGGUGGGAGCAAAAGCAGGGGGCAGAGAAAUUGGAAUAAAGUAUUGCAGGAAUGGCACGACUGGCUGGAACCAUAGACAAGCAUGUUCCCCAUUGCAAAGUUUUGUUGUGAGUCCCUCUUCUUAUGAUUGGUAUCCAUCAGUGAGAAGUGACCUAAUGUGAGGAUAAUUUCUUCACAUUAGAAGUACAAUUAACAGAUAUUUUGGACCAUAGCUCAGCCUUCUGGAGGGAUGUUGUCACUCAUCCAGACACAGCAGAUGAUAAUGAGUCAGAACAGCGUAGCACAGAAACCCUACUUGGCAAGAUCCUGGGUUCGUCGCUUCUGCUUGGUUGGAUGCCUUCUGUUAAGAGGACCAUAAUUAGGUCACUAGGGAUAAAGGGAAUGAGAAAAGAAAUAAUAAAUUCAUGCCAGGUAACAUUUAGGCAUAAAUAAAAGAAAAGUGGAGAAGAUGGCUGGCCGUUCAGCGUUUAUGACAGCCGGUGUGUUUUAAUUUUAAAAUGUAGUUUUAAUUUAUAGAAUUUUUCAUGUAUAUAACAAAGCCACAGAACAACAUGUAAAAACACAUAAUAAAUAACACAUAUAUUUGUAUGUAAGAUUAAAUUGGGAAAAAAACCCAGAAAAGGGGGUUUGAAUAGGAAAGAUUUAACACAUAUCAAAAGAAUAAAGUAUGGAAGCAAUGGUUUUGAUGUACUUUUAAUAAAGGGCAAACCAUUCUAAAAUUCAAAUACGAUUACAGUGUGGAAUCUAAAUAUACUUGGUUAUAUGGGUAUCUGUAAUUCAAAUACUAUACCAUUUUUCAGAGAAUUAUCAUAUUUGCUGUUAGAUAUUUUUAAAACUGAAAGGCUUCACAUACUAGAUCCAAAGAAAUCUAUGUAUUGACUUACAAUUCAAGAGCUGUUUCAAUAGGUCUACAUUUGUGAGACUUGCAACUGUAUUUAGGCCACUACACUACUGGAAAAAUAAUGGGUGAAUUUUUGAUUUUCAGUUUAAGUGCAAUUAGAGUUUCUGACAUUUUCAAAAAGAAAGAUAUAAAAUCAUGUCUGAUUACACACAGUUCUUCUCUACAGCCAUAACUCUCCCCAGAAGUAUCAUUUAAAAAACCAGGACCAGUGUCAAAUUUUACGAGGAGCCAAAAUACACACUUGGGAUGUAAGGGAGAGGUGGGUUUUUUUGUUCUCAUCUUGGCUUUUUUGAGUGACCUUGUCAGGACAUAAAAGUACAAUUUCAGGAAAUUGUUGCAUGUUCAUAGAGGUAAUUCUAGAAAAAAACAAUCAGGGCCAAUUAAUACCGCCCAACAAAGCCCCCCCCCCAGGCAGGGAGCAACCAGGCCUUGAAGCUGUAAGGCUAUUCAAUGCUAAUUAAGGUGACCAAUUACAACAUUUACACUUGCCUCAAACGGACAAGAGUUCUUUCUCCCAUACUGGGCAUUCCCACAGAUAUAUAAAUCCCACUUGCCCAGUUUCUGAAGCUGUAAGGCUAUUCAAUGCUAAUUAAGGUGACCAAUUACAACAUUUACACUUGCCUCAAACGGACAAGAGUUCUUUCUCCCAUACUGGGCAUUCCCACAGAUAUAUAAAUCCCACUUGCCCAGUUUCUGAAGCUGUAAGGCUAUUCAAUGCUAAUUAAGGUGACCAAUUACAACAUUUACACUUGCCUCAAACGGACAAGAGUUCUUUCUCCCAUACUAGGCAUUCCCACAGAUAUAUAAAUCCCACUUGCCCAGUUUCUGAAGCUGUAAGGCUAUUCAAUGCUAAUUAAGGUGACCAAUUACAACAUUUACACUUGCCUCAAACGGACAAGAGUUCUUUCUCCCAUACUAGGCAUUCCCACAGAUAUAUAAAUCCCACUUGCCCAGUUUCUGAAGCUGUAAGGCUAUUCAAUGCUAAUUAAGGUGACCAAUUACAACAUUUACACUUGCCUCAAAUGGACAAGAGUUCUUUCUCCCAUACUGGGCAUUCCCACAGAUAUAUAAAUCCCACUUGCCCAGUUUCCAACAGACCUCACAACCUCUGAGGAUACCUGCCAUAGAUGUGGGUGAAAUGUCAUGAGCGAAUGCUUCUAGAACAUGACCAUACAGCCUGAAAAACUCAUAGCAGCUCAAUUCUAGAAAGACCUGUGUUUUUAUUCCAUUGGUGUUUUUCUCUGUCUUUGUCUCCCUUCCUUUCCCCCAAGUAGCUUUUGGAUAAGGAGAAUCUUUACUUGUUUCUUACAAGCAAGAAAAAAUUAAAAAGUUUUCUCCAUUUGUAAGAUUACAAGACUAUUUGUCCCCCUCCCUGCAAAAAAUCAUGAAUAAAUUAUUUGCUAGAAAUCCCAAAAUGUGAAAAAUCUUGCAGCAGCUCUUUAUUGUCUCAAUUGAGUAUUUUGAUGUGUCAACACACUACAGUAGAGUCUCGCUUAUCCAACCUUCGCUUAUCCAACAUUCUGGAUUAUCCAACACAGUCUGCCUUUUGGUAGUCAGUGUUUUUGUAGUCAAUGUUUUCAAUACAUUACAAUGUUUUGGUGCUAAAUUCAUAAAUACAGUAAUUACUACAUAACGAUACCAUGUAUUGAACUGCUUUUUUGUCAAUUUGUUGUAAAACAUGAUGUUUUGGUACUUAUUUUGUAAAAUCAUAACGUAAUUUGACAUUUAAUAUGCUUUUCCUUAAUCCCUCCUUAUUAUCCAACUUUUUCACUUAUCCAAUGUUCUGCCGCCCCGUUUAUGUUGGAUAAGUGAGACUCUACUGUAUUCCUUAUCAAGAACAAGAAAACCUGCAAACAUUCUUUAUAUAUUAGCUGGUCCCUCUAUAUUACUAGAGUUCUUUCUUCCAAAAGUGAAGCUUGAUCUAUGCACACAAGAAAGAGUAAAAUGAACUGUUUCACUCUGCAAAUGGAAGACAGCAUUUGGGAAUGAUCCCACGUGAAAAUGACAGCAGCAGCAAUAGGAAGUAAUUAUGUGCAAGAUGAGAAUAAAGAUAUCAAUAGACAGAUUCCAACCUAGCUCUCUUAAUUGUCAGCUACUUUUCUAUUUUUAAGAAGCUUUGUUUCAUUGUAUCCUGUAUAGGAUUAUUAAACUAAUUUAAGGAGGAACCCAUAAUCUGAAGAGGUACAUUUCACUAGAUAAUUCUACUGUAGAAAGGCUUUAGGUAGGAAUGUAAGGCAGGAAAACCAGCAAGUUGUGGUGGUUUGGGUGCUGAACUAGGUACCAAUGGGUGACCUUGGGCAAGUCACAUCCUCUUAGCCUCAGGGGAAGGUAAUGGUAACAUCCACCACCCAUCCCAAAGAAAACAUUACCAAGAAAACCCCAUUACAGGUUUGUAGAAAGGUUGCAAUAAGUCAGGUUUUGUCUCUUUUUGCUACUCAGGUCUGGGCCAAGUGAUGUCUGAGAUGCAAGAAAAUUUUUCCCCUUUUCUCUUCAAAUACAGUACAGCAGCUGACUAGACAGCAAUUAAGUCCUUGAAAACAGUAUCAGAAUUCACAAACACCAAAUAGCUUAGGCGUCCCUGCUUCAGGUAUUGGGUAGGAUCAUCAUGAGUUGCAUCUACAUCACAAAAUUAAAGCACUUUGACACCACCUUAUCUGCUAUGGCGCAAUGUUAUAGAAUCAUGGGAGUUGCAGUUUUACAAAGUAUUUAGCCUCUGCCAGAGUGCUGGUGUGUCACCAAAUUACAAAUCCCAGGAUUCCAUAGCAUUGAGCCAGACAAGGUCAAACGUCAUAACUUCUACAGUGUAGGUGUAUACUGACAGGAGAGAUCACAUUCUGGUCUUGAGACAAAGCCAAAUGUUAAUACAUAACUACCGUAGCUCCAGUUUCUGCCAACCUAGGAGAUCGAAAAUAUGCCAAUGUGAGUAAAUCAAUAGGUACCGCUCUGGCGGGAAGGUAAUGGUGCUCCAUGCAGUCCUGCCGGCCACAUAACCUUGGAGACAUCUAGGGACAACGCCAGCUCUUCGGCUUAGAAAUGGAGAUGAGCACUAACCCCCAGAGUCAGACACAACUGGACUUAAUGUCAGGGGAAAACCUAUACCUUCACUAAUUGCAUUAAAACUACACUGUUCUCAAUAAGUGUGGGAUUCUUUGGUGUACUAGUGAAUCUUAUUCCUGGAAGCAUUUUUAUCCUGCCUCAGGAUACAGAUCCAUUAUUAUUCCCUCUCUAACCCUUUGCUCUCCUGAGAAUGGACGGGGUAUAAAUGUUGUAAUAAAUAAAUAAAUAAAUAAAGUUCAUUUCUUAA